ACGUCUGUACGUUCGUGUAGCUCCCUCUAUAUAUUGUCGGUACCUGAAAUUUCCGCGCUGGGAAUCAGUUUGGCCAUACGAAAGAGUUUCAGGAAGAAGCUAUGAAAGGCGCCUCGUUUCCUCGCAUAGUUUUGUUACUGGUAGCACUUCCUGCUAUCAAGGAACUCUUUUUGCUGGGUUAUGCUCAAGGCAGAGUGUCAAUGC